rnacentral:rRNA from 1 species
AAUUAUUGGGCGUAAAGGGCUCGCAGGGGUUUCUUAAGUCUGAUGUGAAAGCCCCCGGCUCAACCGGGGAGGGUCAUUGGAAACGGGUUGAGUGCAGAAGAGGAGAGUGGAAUUCCACGUGUAGCGGUGAAAUGCGUAGAGAUGUGGAGGAACACCAGUGGCGAAGGCGACUCUCUGGUCUGUAACUGACGCUGAGGAGCGAAAGCGUGGGGAGCGAACAGGAUUAGAUACCCUGGUAGUCCACGCCGUAAACGAUGAGUGCUAAGUGUUAGGGGGUUUCCGCCCCUUAGUGCUGCAGCUAACGCAUUAAGCACUCCGCCUGGGGAGUACGGUCGCAGACUGAAACUCAAAGGAAUUGGGGGCCCGACAAGCGGUGGAGCAUGUGGUUUA